rnacentral:misc_RNA from 1 species
AAUCCACUUCAACCUAAGCAUGUAAAAGAAAAAAAUUGACAAGUAACUAUUAAUAAUGAUGGCAUAAGUUUUGGGUGAUAUAUCUUUUUGCUAACAAUUUAAUGCAGUUGUACAGGUAUUUAAAUCAAUGUAUGCAUCUAAUCAACACUAUGCUUCAAACAGAAUAUGCCAAUGAUGAUAAUAUUAUGAAAAUAAUCAUAAGAUUGAAUCAAAAUAGAGUUAUAUGAAAUCUUUCGCUAAUCUAAUGAACCUACAAAAUAGAAGAUGUUAAAAAUGAACCAUCAUUAAAUUUUCCAUUAGUUAUAUUUUAGUUGUCACAGCGAAGCCAUUAAUGAAUAAAUAAAAUAUGAAGCUUAUGCCUUCAAAAUUCAAAAGCAGAUUAAUCACAUACUUGUUAACAUGCAUGAAUUGAAAUUGACAGUAGAAAAAAGACAAUACAGAAAAGGAUUUCAUGAUUCACUCUUAGUGCAAGCUCUUAGUGUGCAAGUUUUAGUUUGCAAUCAAGUAGCACCUUGUCA